rnacentral:tRNA from 1 species
UGGGGUAUAGCUCAGUCGGUAGAGUGCUUAUUUAGCAUGCAUAAGACCCUGGGUUCAAUCCCCAGCACCACAA